rnacentral:rRNA from 1 species
UUAAUUGAAGAGUUUGAUCAUGGCUCAGAUUGAACGCUGGCGGCAGGCCUAACACAUGCAAGUCGAGCGGUAACAGGAAUUAGCUUGCUAAUUCGCUGACGAGCGGCGGACGGGUGAGUAAUGCCUGGGAAUAUGCCUUAGUGUGGGGGAUAACUAUUGGAAACGAUAGCUAAUACCGCAUAAUGUCUUCGGACCAAAGAGGGGGACCUUCG